CUACGAUGCCUCUGUUCGUACAAGGCUUUUCUCCGCAGAUAUGGGAUGGAACCAUCUAAUAUCAGGCCUCUUCUUGCCAAGUGUGGUAUAAGUCCUCCCUCCUGUUUGUAAGCUUGAAAAAGUGAGCUGAAGACAGACUUUGUCUUGCCCUGAAGUCUGUCAAGUAAUAAUAUGUAUUUUUGUGUUGUGCUGCUCUGAUUCGAAUAAAUUAUAUACUUUGCAAUGAUUUUUCAAUCACCCUUGUCUAUUACUUAGAUGAACAAUGUCCUAUACAUAUUAAUUAUGAGAAGAAUAAAGUAAUGUUUUUCUUUCUA